rnacentral:rRNA from 4 species
GGGUUGUGAGGUUAAGCGACUAAGCGUACACGGUGGAUGCCCUGGCAGUCAGAGGCGAUGAAGGACGUGCUAAUCUGCGAUAAGCGCCGGUAAGGUGAUAUGAACCGUUAUAACCGGCGAUUUCCGAAUGGGGAAACCCAGUGUGAUUCGUCACACUAUCAUUAACUGAAUCCAUAGGUUAAUGAGGCGAACCGGGGGAA